CCUACGGGUGGCUGCAGUGGGGAAUAUUGGACAAUGGGCGAAAGCCUGAUCCAGCCAUGCCGCGUGUGUGAAGAAGGCCUUCGGGUUGUAAAGCACUUUCAGUGGGGAAGAAAGCCUUGGGGCUAAUACCCUCGAGGAAGGACAUCACCCACAGAAGAAGCACCGGCUAACUCCGUGCCAGCAGCCGCGGUAAUACGGAGGGUGCGAGCGUUAAUCGGAAUUACUGGGCGUAAAGCGCGCGUAGGCGGUCUGAUAAGCCGGUUGUGAAAGCCCCGGGCUCAACCUGGGAACGGCAUCCGGAACUGUCAGGCUAGAGUGCAGGAGAGGAAGGUAGAAUUCCCGGUGUAGCAGUGAAAUGCGUAGAGAUCGGGAGGAAUACCAGUGGCGAAGGCGGCCUUCUGGACUGACACUGACGCUGAGGUGCGAAAGUGUGGGUAGCAAACAGGAUUAGAUACCCGAGUAGUC
rnacentral:rRNA from 1 species